AUUGAACGCUGGCGGCAUGCUUUACACAUGCAAGUCGAACGGUAACAGGCCUUCGGGCGCUGACGAGUGGCGAACGGGUGAGUAAUGCAUCGGAACGUGCCCAGUCGUGGGGGAUAACGCAGCGAAAGCUGUGCUAAUACCGCAUACGAUCUGUGGAUGAAAGCGGGGGACCUUCGGGCCUCGCGCGAUUGGAGCGGCCGAUGUCGGAUUAGGUAGUUGGGGGGGUAAAGGCUCACCAAGCCAAAGAGCUGUAGCUGGUCUGAGAGGACGACCCGCCACACUGGGACGGCGACACGACCCAGACUCCUACGGGAGGUAGCGAGGGGGAAUUUUGGACAAUGGGCGCAAGCCUGAUCCAUCAAUGCCGCGUGCAGGAGGAAGGCCUUCGGGUUGUAAACUGCUUUUGUACGGAACGAAACGGUCCUGGUUAAUACCUGGGGCUAAUGACGGUACCGUAAGAAUAAGCACCGGCUAACUACGUGCCAGCAGCCGCAGUAACAC
rnacentral:rRNA from 1 species